rnacentral:misc_RNA from 1 species
CCAACCAUUCGUGCCUCAAGAGCAUUAGCAAAGCAAUGGGCAAGCCUCUGGGAUCCAUCACCACAAGGGGUAGAAUGCUUCCUAAUCUGCAUUAGUAGUUCAAACGCAGUUUUGUGAUCAUUACCUGCUACAGCUUCUGCACAAUGAAUCAAAAGAGUGCUGAGAUCAACCAAUUUUCGGGUUUUAACNNNNNNNNCACCAUUAGAUCCUCUUGAUUGUCCCUUCUGAUGCAAUAUCCCGCUGGUUGGUGGAUUUUCAGAAGCUAUAUUAGGGUUAAAGAAAUCAUACUCAUAAUCAUCAAUGUCCCUUUGUUGUCUUAGCCGCCACCACGGGAGUCACUCUAUUGUUUGCAAAAUCAAGAAUCAUUUCUUUUCCAUACCGAUGGAAUUCCCCAGUUUCCACUCUCCAUCCUAUAAUGGACUGCAAUUCCUCAGUUGCAGAAAUGAUUCCUGGAGGAGGAAAAGAAGCGGAUGAAUAGGACUGCAAACCGAGUGGCAAAGGCGUAGCAAUUAUAC